rnacentral:rRNA from 1 species
CGGGUGAGUAAUGUAUGGGGAUCUGCCUGAUGGCGGGGGGUAACUACUGGAAACGGUAGCUAAUACCGCAUAAUGUCUACGGACCAAAGCGGGGGACCUCCGGGCCUCUUGCCAUCGGAUGUGCCCAGAUGGGAUUAGCUAGUAGGUGGGGUAACGGCUCACCUAGGCGACGAUCCCUAGCUGGUCUGAGAGGAUGACCAGCCACACUGGAACUGAGACACGGUCCAG